GCAGCCGUGGCCUACUGGUUAGGGCUUCGGCCUUGUAACCGAGGGUUGCCGGUUCGAUCCCACGACCAGUAGUA
rnacentral:tRNA from 1 species